ensembl:lncRNA
AAACAAAUGAAUUUCGAGGGCAAAAUCGACAGAUAUAUAACGCGGUUGAAAACACACAAUACUCCAUGCAGCUCCGGGAAUGUUCCUGCCUGCAGCCGGCCCUCUCCUCCCCGGCUUCACAAACUUUGAUCAGCGAGGCCUGGCCGCGGAGCCGCUUGAGCCGUGCAGCAUGGUUUGCUGGCAGAGGAGGAUGGGUAUAAAUGGAGACUGUCACAGGAGAGGAGGGUAAAAACCAGGGGCAUGUUCAGGAGGCAGACAACAUUUUGAAACAGCUAAGGUGUGCCCUCCUUUAACAGGCCCCUGCCCCUGGUAGAGGUGCCAGCUGGGGCACUGGCCUGGGCAUGGUUCCCUCAGACUCAGAGAGACAUUGGCAUGCAGGGCAUCAUGUCACAGUGUGGGGCACCAGGGGAGCGUCAGUGGGCAAACCAUAGAAAUAUAAUGAAUAGAACAGGCGUCCCCAUUCAAGUCAAUUAUGCCCAUAGUGGAGGUGUCAUAAUACCCAUAAAACCCAGUGGUCAGACGGGGAAAUGGUUCCAAUCGUUUUUUCCACCAUUAAUUUUUCCCAUAGGGGAAUUUAGAAAUACUUAAAAUUAGGGCUGUUUCUUGUAGGCUUACCCUUGUGUGAUGUUAUGAUAACCAUGUAAAUCUCUCUCGGACAAGGUGACUUAAUAUAUUUGGCUCUAUUUACUCUCAGAUUCAAAAAUGCUAAUUAGCUUCAAAGUAGACAUCACGCAAAACUACAAAUCUCUGCAAGCUCCUGCACGUCAUCUCUAGCUGACACCUCUGCUAUCAGGUAUUGUGUCAAUUUAAAACUGACAAAAGGGCAGUACUGAGGCGUCACUACAGCCUCGGGUUCGAUCCCAGCCGGCUGUGACCGGGAGACACAUGAGGCGGCGCACAUUUGGCCCAAGUUAGGGAAGGGUUUGGCCGGCCGGGAUUUCCUUGUCUCAUCGUACUCUAGUGUCUCCUUGUGGCGGGCCGGGCGCCUGCAAGCUGAUUUCGGUUGUCAGUUGGAUAGUGUUUCCUCUGACACAUUGGUGCGGCUGGCUUUGGAGUUAAGCGAGCAGUGUGUCAAGAAGCAGUGCAGCUUGGCGUUGCGGAGGACGCAUGGCUCUCGACCUUCACCUCUCCCGAGUCCGUAGUGGAGUUGCAGCAACGAGACAAGACUAACUAUCAAUUGGGGAGAGUUUUUUUUUUUAACCAAAAGACAGUUCACAGAAAUGUCCGUUUAAAGAAAUGUAGACAAUUUAUUUAUUACUACAUUUAGCAUUAACAGAUAGUUAAUCCAGAGAUUCUUACCUUUGCCUCGAUUCGGCAGCCUCCUCCAGGUCAUCAUGGUAUUUGUAGUUCUUAAUGAUAGCCACAUUAGCAGCUAAUUAGCAUUUCAUUUUUUUUGGUGGGGGGGGGGUGUAAAUACAGGCAAAUUAUUGAUAAAAGUAACCGGUUAUCAAAACGUCACUCCAGGGUAACCCUACAUGAAACACAGCCCUUAUUUUAAGUGUUUAUAAAAUCCCCCAUGAAUGAUGAUGAAUGGUAGAAAAAUGAUUUGAAACAUUUCCCUGUUUGACCGCUAGGUUUUAUGGGUAUAUGACUCAUACUGUGGUACUCUAUGGGUGGACAAGUCAUAUGUGCUGUAAUUUGUUGAUUAAACUGACAUUACAAAAAAAUACAUUCGUUUGAAUGAACAUGGAAAUGAUUGCAUCACAUUACCAGGCAGCCACUGUAAGUGUACCCAUGUGUUUACCAAUCAAAAAUGCCAGGGUUAGAAGUUCCAAGCCCAUUCAAUUCAUUCUUUUUCUAUGGGGCAAACAACCUGAAGGCAAGAGCAGAGCCAGUGCUUGUUGGCCUGAGUAUGCCUGCUCAAACACAUUCACAUGGGCAUUGUUUCAGUCUCUGGCCUGGUUUUGCUCCUGUCUAAGGUAAGUGAAUUGCAUUGAAACAUAGAGGCCCUACAUCAAUUAGUCUUGUACUGAUUUUAGAUUCUUGAACAUUUUGUAGUUCUUUUGAUUCUUGUCCUGAGUGUCAGAUAAGUUUUAGAGUGUUGUAUUCACAGUCUGCUUUUCCACAAUAAACUGGCAGAAAAUGUG